GGAAUAUUGCGCAAUGGGCGAAAGCCUGACGCAGCAACGCCGCGUGCGGGAUGAAGGCCUUCGGGUUGUAAACCGCUUUCAGUGGGGACGAAAACAGACGGUACCCACAGAAGAAGCCCCUGCCAACUACGUGCCAGCCGCCGCGGUAACAAGUAGGGGGCGAGCGAUGUCCGGAUUUAUUCGGCGUAAAGAGCUCGUAGGCGGCUCGGUAAGUGAGGUGUGAAAACUCCAGGCUCAACCUGGAGACGCCACCUCAUACUGCCGUGGCUAGAGUCCGGUAGGGGAGCAUGGAAUUCCUGGUGUAGCGGUGAAAUGCGCAGAUAUCAGGAGGAACACCAGUGGCGAAGGCGGUGCUCUGGGCCGGAACUGACGCUGAGGAGCGAAAGCGUGGGGAGCAAAC
rnacentral:rRNA from 1 species